rnacentral:lncRNA from 1 species
AAGGCACUGACCUAUCUCUUCCACCGAAUUUUAUUAUUCAUCAGUCAUGGUAAAAGAUUCUGUCUCUGUAGAAGACUUGUCUCGACCCUUGUCCUUACAGUGAGCUAUUUCCUGCACUUCCUUCAGUCUCAGGGGCUGCCUGUCCCAGGUUUGUCCCUUAUUGAGAAAGCUCUUUCUCAAUUUUAGCCCUCCCCCCA